rnacentral:rRNA from 1 species
UGGGGAAUAUUGCACAAUGGGCGAAAGCCUGAUGCAGCGACGCCGCGUGAGGGAUGAAGGCCUUCGGGUUGUAAACCUCUUUCAGUAGGGAAGAAGCGGAAGUGACGGUACCUACAGAAGAAGCACCGGCUAACUACGUGCCAGCAGCCGCGGUAAUACGUAGGGUGCGAGCGUUGUCCGGAAUUAUUGGGCGUAAAGAGCUUGUAGGCGGUUUGUCGCGUCUGCUGUGAAAAUCCGGGGCUCAACUCCGGACUUGCAGUGGGUACGGGCAGACUAGAGUGUGGUAGGGGAGACUGGAAUUCCUGGUGUAGCGGUGAAAUGCGCAGAUAUCAGGAGGAACACCGAUGGCGAAGGCAGGUCUCUGGGCCACUACUGACGCUGAGAAGCGAAAGCGUGGGGAGCGAACAGGAUUAGAUACCCUGGUAGUCCACGCCGUAAACGUUGGGAACUAGGUGUGGGUCUCAUUCCACGAGAUCCGUGCCGCAGCUAACG